rnacentral:rRNA from 1 species
UGGGGAAUAUUGGACAAUGGGGGCAACCCUGAUCCAGCCAUGCCGCGUGAGUGAUGAAGGCCUUCGGGUUGUAAAGCUCUUUUGGCGGGGACGAUGAUGACGGUACCCGCAGAAUAAGCCCCGGCUAACUUCGUGCCAGCAGCCGCGGUAAGACGAAGGGGGCUAGCGUUGUUCGGAAUUACUGGGCGUAAAGCGAGUGUAGGCGGUUGCCGUAGUCAGGUGUGAAAGCCUUGAGCUCAACUCAAGAAAUGCACUUGAUACUGGGUGACUAGAGGACCGGAGAGGAUAGUGGAAUUCCCAGUGUAGUGGUGAAAUACGUAGAGAUUGGGAAGAACACCAGUGGCGAAGGCGGCUAUCUGGACGGUUACUGACGCUAAGACUCGAAAGCGUGGGGAGCAAACAGGAUUAGAUACCCUGGUAGUCCACGCCGUAAAACGAUGGGUGCUAGACGUUGGCGAGCUUGCUCGUCAGUGUCGCAGCUAACGCGUUAAGCACCCCGCCUGGGGAGUACGGCCGCAAGGUUGAAACUCAAAAGGAAUUGACGGGGUCAUAGCUGUUUCCU